UACAGAGGGUGCGAGCGUUUGUCCGGAAUCACUGGGCGUAAAGGGCGCGUAGGCGGCCUGGUAAGUCGGGGGUGAAACGCUGCGGCUCAACCGCAGCACUGCCUUCGAGACUGUCAGGCUUGAGCACGGUAGAGGCUGGUGGAAUUCCCGGUGUAGCGGUGGAAUGCGUAGAGAUCGGGAAGAACAUCGGUGGCGAAGGCGGCCAGCUGGGCCGUUGCUGGACGCUGAGGCGCGACAGCGUGGGGAGCAAACAGG
rnacentral:rRNA from 1 species